UACGAAUGGGGCUAGCGUUGUUCGGAAUUACUGGGCGUAAAGCGCACGUAGGCGGACUAUUAAGUCAGGGGUGAAAUCCCGGGGCUCAACCCCGGAACUGCCUUUGAUACUGGUAGUCUCGAGUCCGGAAGAGGUGAGUGGAAUUCCGAGUGUAGAGGUGAAAUUCGUAGAUAUUCGGAGGAACACCAGUGGCGAAGGCGGCUCACUGGUCCGGUACUGACGCUGAGGUGCGAAAGCGUGGGGAGCAAACAGG
rnacentral:rRNA from 1 species